rnacentral:rRNA from 1 species
UACGUAGGUGGCGAGCGUUGUCCGGAAUUACUGGGUGUAAAGGGAGUGUAGGCGGGAAGGCAAGUCAGAAGUGAAAACUGUGGGCUUAACCCAUAGCCUGCUUUUGAAACUGUUUUUCUUGAGUGAAGUAGAGGCAAGCGGAAUUCCUAGUGUAGCGGUGAAAUGCGUAGAUAUUAGGAGGAACACCAGUGGCGAAGGCGGCUUGCUGGGCUUUUACUGACGCUGAGGCUCGAAAGCGUGGGGAGCAA